rnacentral:lncRNA from 1 species
UCUUCUUUGUGCUCUGUCUUCUCUCUUAAAUCCUCCUUCACUAAAUCAUCUUCUCAACAAUCAGGAAGCGUGUAAGGAUUCCUAGCGUUGAGAGCUCGAAAUCUCACCGAUCAAUUUGGCAUUUCUCUAACUAGUAAGUGUUUUCCCCUUUUAUGUGUAAUUUAGGGCUAUGACCAUGUAAUGAGUUUGUUGCAUGUAGCCCAUCGUGUCUCUUUUCCAAUUCUAGCUUCAAUUAAACUCUUAAAUUUGAAUUUUAUCACCAAAUGGUGAUUUAUAGGUGGUCUAGCACUUCCGGAAGUGAAAAGGGGCGUGCUUGAGGGUUUUCUUGAGCUAAAAAGAGGAAUUUUAUUACUGCAGUUUAGAGGUAANGGAAGCUUAGGAUUUCUUUAUUUUCUGUUUUGGGAAUUUAGGUUACAGGAAUUUGGGGGUUUUGUUAGGAAUUCUGAAAUUUGAAAUUUUGCAUGUUGAAUCAAAGGUUCAUGUAUGUCAAAUUGUGAAAUUGUAAAAUUGAUGUUUAUGAAUUGGUAUGAAUCAUGCGUGAUGCUAUGAAUUGAUUGUAGAUGUGUUAAAUUGCUUGGAUUGGACAUGUUGGAAGUGGUUGAAGUGGAAAAUUCUGUUAUAUUGUUAAUAUGAUAGAUAACCAAGUGUUUAGGUAAGGUUCUAGGUUCCUUGAGAGGAAGUGAGGUAGUGAAUUUGAGAAAUUGGGGUCAAGGGCACUUGUAUUAUGUUGGGAUAGUCUAGGCAUGUUAUUUUUGACUUCUUAGUGUCAUCAAACUGGUCAAAAGCAUGUGCAAAGUGGUAAAUCAGAAUUCAAGUCACUAAGUUCAUGAAAUAGUUGAAUUAGAACUCAAAUCUAUGCAUAAUCUUUAGAAUUAGUGUUAGGGAACCUGUGUUAAACCUCAAACAAGUCCAAAAUCAUCCUUACUUCGUGUUAGGAAGGUUAGAAUUUCACCCAAGGACCUACAACAGAUUUUGAAGGUGUGAGUUCCUCAAAAUUCUGCAGAAAAUCUGCACAAUUCCACGACCCGUGUACUAAUCCACAAUCCGCCUGUGGACUUCUCUGUUUCAAAUCUGUUCCUUUUGUGAUAAUUCCACAAGUCAUGGAAAUGUCCACAACUAAGUCGUGGACCUCUCUGGUUUCAAGGUUUAGAUCACAUUAGUUACUUUCAUUGCUUAGGUUUUAAUUGAAUUGUGAUGCAUGGUUGUAUUGGUUAUUGUACUUUGAUGUAUGAUUCAUGUAUGAUUUGUACUUGCAUUGUAUAAUUCCUUUUAGUAUGGUAUGACUUAACUAAGUAAGAUGUGUAUGCAAUUGAAUCAAUCUAACAUCAAAAUGUCUAACAAUUAAGAAAUCAAAGUAAGUGAAGUUGGCAUUGUUUGAAAGGUGAAUCAAAGAGUUAAGUAUCAAGAUCUCUAGGUGAGAUCNUUGUUAAUGUUGAGAAUAAAUAUNGGAAGCUCAAUCUUGGGUGUCUCCAUUUUAUAUGGGCCAAGAAUGAGUGAUUCAAGUUAAGUUCUGGAAUGAAUAUAGGUAGCUCAGUCUUGG